GCUUCCCGAUUAGUACAGACGUUCAUUAAGUGGUCUUAAGGAGGACUGUAGCUUACGGAAGAGACAAUUAAUACAUUUGUAUUUAAACGGGACCCAAGGUUCGCGACGGAGGCAGCACGGGCAGGCGCAGUCCGCUUUCUAAGAGCCGCUGGCCAUGGCUACUCAACGAGAGCGCAUAGCGACCGGCGGGAAACGCUCCCAAAUCCCCCGAACAGUUCAAAAGGUUUUUUCACGCGGAUUCCUUCCUUGGCAAGGAUCCUAUUCUUCCGAUUGCCGUUGAAAAAUUGGGAUUCAGUCAGCAGCACCAAUCGCGGACCGCUGUGUCAAAAUGCAAAAGAGGACAAAGCUGUAAAUGUAAGAAGCAUAAAAAGGUCCCGCAACGUGGCAAAAAAGUAUCGUUUGAUGAUUUUACGAUGAGAACCCUAAAGAAAUCACUAUGCGAAGAUGAAAUGCUUGACUGAACUGUAGUCCGUAUGAAUCAAGUCAUUGUUUUUUUGGAUGGUCCAAGAACACCCAAGAAGGCCAAGAACACACUAACAAGACAGAUCGAGACAAAACUAUGAAAUCGCAAAAUCGGUAACACUA